UUAAUACGUAAUUUUUAAUGUGUAGUUGGGUUGUUACAGAUAAAAAUUAAUUUCUUGUCAGGCUUUGUUAGGACCAUACCACAAAAAAAUAGUGGUAAUUGAACACCCAUCAUUAGAAACUUCUUGAGGGCCAUUGAAAUGUUUAUUUUCCAACCAACCUGUUGAUGAGGUCACAAAUACCUGAAUGAAAGACCAUGUAAAUAUCAGCUUGGUUCAAAACUUUUCUGGCCCUCGAGAAGCUUUUAAUGAUCAAUCACAACUUUUCCAUAUAGUAUAGUCCACAUGAGAUUUGGACCUGUUGGAUUUUUGGGCUCAUAUCCUAAAACGAUCUGUCGAAAUGGAUGGACUGUGUGGAUAUAAGGCACAUACUUAUGAAAAUGCCAUCUUAGGAGACGUAGCCAGGUUCUACCGCUUGAUACUACCUAUUCUUGAGACUUUCAAACAUUGUGUGUCACUUUACUAUAAAAUAGAAAUCAACAUUGCUUUCUGCUAACAUAUGCAUUUACUAUUGCAAUUUCUUUAAUUGGUAGAAUUUCUUAUAGGAACUUAAGGAAAAAAUAAUCAAGUGGCUGUAAUUCUCUAUGUAAAUCAUGUACUACAUUUAGAAACCGAUCAGUCCUUACAAGGUCUCAAAUCAGGAGGGAGGAUAAUGUUAAAUUAGAUUUGUAAUUUUCACCUACAAGCUAAUUGUUAUAAAAACUCAUCUUCUUGGUAUGCUUUGUGCACAUAUUGCUAAUUGAGGUUGCUUUUUUUUUGGUGGCAAACAUGAAGGAGAGUGCAUAUUUCUAUUCUAUUUUAUUGUUGAUAGGUAUCCUUUUCAUCUAGCUGUUUAAUCACCUAGUUUGGUUACUAAGUUUGGCAAUAGUUUGAUUUUUUUUUUUUUUUCAAUUACAGAAGAAAAAGGAGAUAUGCUUUCAGAAUUCUUUGAAUAUCAGGCAUGGCAGCAAUGGUGGCUCGUCAUUGCAACGACAUGUUGAGCAGAGGAAGGCAUCGAAGGAUUUUCGGUCAUUUGUUAAGCACGUGGGAACACAAAUUUCUCAGGCCUCACAAAGUAUACAUCUUGAGGUGAAGGAGUUAUGGAGCUCAAUGAAUGGAUUUCAUCGUCUGGUUUCAAAUGGUUCAGAAUCCAGUGAGGCAAUAGUUGAUAAGGUUCGUCAUGUCAUUUAAGAUCAUGAUACCCAAUUCCUGGGGUUCAUAAUUAUGUGCUCAUUCAAGCUUAAAUUUAACAGAUAAAGCUAGGAGAAGAAGGGUAGAAAGAAGGCAAUUCGGGGUAUGGUGAGGAGAGGUCCUGAUUGCGUAGCCUGGCAUAUGUGGUUAUACAUCUGGUAUUAUGAGAAGGGUUGGGGGAAAUUUUAAGGAAAGAUUAGAAGAACUUGGAGGACUUUAUGCAGUCUUUGAUUUUGCUGUAAGUUGCCACUCUGUUAUGGAGGUCACUGAAGAACAGCUUGCAGGGCUCUUCCAAAGUUAAAGAGGUAAAUUUGGGCAGUAGAGGGAUCAGCACCAAAUGGAGAUGUAUGAGGAAGCCAGUCAAGUGGCAAAUGAUGCAGUUGGUGGUAUUCGGACAAUUGCAUCUUUUUGUGGAGAAUACAAGGUAAUAGAUCUUUACCAAGAGAAAUGCGAGUUCCCAAUGAAGCAUGGAGUCCGACAAGGAAUUGUAAGUGGCGUAGGCUUCAGCUUUUCCUUCUUCAUGGUCUUCUGCACCAACACCCUCAUUUUCUAUGCCGCUGCUCAUCUUGAACAAGAUGGGAAGACAACAUUUUCCAAAGUUUUCAGGGUUUUCUUUGCUUUGAUAAUGGCAGCAUUUGGAGUCUCAUAGACCAGCGCAAUAGCUCCAGAUGCAACCAUUCACUUUUAAAUGUAGGACUGCCAUGUAAAAAUAAAUUAAAAAAUCAGUAUUUUACUAGUUUAAUGGGGCUUUUUAUUUUUUAUAUGGGAAGCAUGUUUCCUGCUCAAGUUUGUAAGUAAAAAAAUUAGCUUUAUAUGGACUGAUGUGUUUAUAUUGGUGAGUCCAAUCUGUAUUACUUUCUAAUGGUAUGAAUAAAGACUCCGUUAUUUUGGCCA